rnacentral:rRNA from 1 species
AGAGUUUGAUCCUGGCUCAGGAUAAACGCUGGCGGCGCACAUAAGACAUGCAAGUCGAACGGAAGUCGUUAUAAAAAGGAUUGAAGAUUUAUCUGAUUGAGAUUUUAUAACAAUGGCUUUAGUGGCGGACUGGUGAGUAACACGUAAGCAACCUGCCUAUUAGAGGGGAACAACAGUUAGAAAUGACUGCUAAUACCGCAUAUGCCAUAGUGAAGACAUCUUCACAGUGGGAAAGGAGUAAUCCGCUAAUAGAUGGGCUUGCGUCUGAUUAGAUAGUUGGUGGGGUAACGGCCUACCAAGUCGACGAUCAGUAGCCGGACUGAGAGGUUGAACGGCCACAUUGGGACUGAGAUACGGCCCAGACUCCUACGGGAGGCAGCAGUCGGGAAUAUUGCGCAAUGGAGGAAACUCUGACGCAGUGACGCCGCGUGCAGGAAGAAGGUUUUCGGAUUGUAAACUGCUUUAGACAGGGAAGAAAAAAGACAGUACCUGUAGAAUAAGCUCCGGCUAACUACGUGCCAGCAGCCGCGGUAAUACGUAGGGAGCAAGCGUUGUCCGGAUUUACUGGGUGUAAAGGGUGCGUAGGCGGCUUUGCAAGUCAGAUGUGAAAUCUAUGGGCUCAACCCAUAAACUGCAUUUGAAACUGUAGAGCUUGAGUGAAGUAGAGGCAGGCGGAAUUCCCCGUGUAGCGGUGAAAUGCGUAGAGAUGGGGAGGAACACCAGUGGCGAAGGCGGCCUGCUGGGCUUUAACUGACGCUGAGGCACGAAAGCGUGGGUAGCAAACAGGAUUAGAUACCCUGGUAGUCCACGCUGUAAACGAUGAUUACUAGGUGUGGGGGGUCUGACCCCUUCCGUGCCGGAGUUAACACAAUAAGUAAUCCACCUGGGGAGUACGGCCGCAAGGUUGAAACUCAAAGGAAUUGACGGGGGCCCGCAC